AGCGAACGCUGGCGGCAGGCCUAACACAUGCAAGUCGAACGGAUCCUUCGGGAUUAGUGGCGGACGGGUGAGUAACGCGUGGGAACAUACCUUUUGGUUCGGAACAACACAGGGAAACUUGUGCUAAUACCGGAUAAGCCCUUACGGGGAAAGAUUUAUCGCCGAAAGAUUGGCCCGCGUCUGAUUAGCUAGUUGGUGAG
rnacentral:rRNA from 1 species